GAAUUGCUGAGGGACAGACAGGGGACAUCUCAAUUGGGCACAGAUGUUACGAGGUAUAAACACAAAAUUGGUCGCAGACAAGGAGGGAGACAAUGGACUCGAAGCCGACAUUCAUGCUCCUUAUCUUAAUCUCUCCGCCACCGUCAUCACAGCCAAAGGAUAAGUCCGGCCUCCGCCUCGCAAAGCCCUCCAUUUCCCAUGGAAUCCGAAACCCUCUUCUCAUCCCACCAGCAGGUAAAUUAAUCAUCUUCUCACUCUUAUUUUUCUAUCACUUUCCAAGAAUUUUCUCAGGAAAAAGUUGACUAAUUGAUUCUAACUCCAUUUCUUAUUAAACCAUAAAUUUUCUGCUCCUUUUAAAGUUGGUUCUGUUUGUCUUGCCAGAAAAUACUUUCCUUUCUGUCUCUCUCUUUUUUAAAUUUUGUUGUACGGAAUAAUGGGGCAUGUGAACAAGCUUGUUUUGCAGAAAAAAUAAAAUACAAGUUCCAAAAGUUUGUUCUUAUUUACACUCGAUGUAUAAUGCUAGUGUAAGGUUAACAGAGCAUGGCUGGAAAUUGAUCAAAAUGGAGAUGGUGGCUCAAACAAACCUAUUUCAGAUGAAAAUUUGCCAGGUCCAUCAUAAUUUGGAUGUGUAACUUCUGUGUUAGAAAAGCAAAACUAUCGUAGGCUUCCUGCUCAAGAAAAUGUAAUUUUUUUGCUUUUGAUAAGAACAAAUCCUUAAUUAUUGGAAAUGACCAAUCGUUGCGCAUCGGACUGAAAGUUAGAUUUCUGGAUGUUAUGACUGCAUAGCGAACAUGAUUAUCAUUAUUUGUGACAUAAUCUGUGUUGGUUUGUACCUGGGUAAAGUAUCUUUUAAGUUUUAAGGCAUGUAGCAUUUUUUUUAAUAAUUGCCCCCAGAUACAUGAAGUUCUUGAGGUUUUAUCAUUAGUUGUGACAUAAUAUAUGAAGUAUUGCCACCAAUACUUCUUUCAACCCCUUCACCAUCUCACAUAAAGUAACAGGCAUCAAGGAAACUUCUGUAAAUUUUGUUUCAUGGGUACAAUUUCUUAUCUGUACUUGCUAUCAAUAGUUACAAUUCUUACAUCAACCUCUCACUAACAUAGCAUGCUCAUUAGUAACUGUCUAAACCAACCUAAUUGACUAGAUUCUAAUCUAUACAUGCAGUUUAGAUUGAAGGCUUUGAUUGGUGAUGCCCUUUAGGAAAUAACCAUCUGCCCCUGCUGCGAGGAAGCUUGGCAAUGCAAAAAUCUCACUGGUCCACGCCAACUCGAAGAUUGAACCUCUAUUACCGAGAAUAUUUCUCAAGUAUGAUACUACCUAUAGGUAUUCAUAUUGUAUAUUAGGACAAGCCAAAAAAUAUCUAAAUGAAUAGCAAAUGAAAUGUAUAGCAUUACUGGCCUCAAUCAGCCCAGAGCAACUGAUUGUUAACUUUCUACUUGUGGACCGCGACCAGGUAUCUCACAUUUUUGAGCAGUUCAAUGGAAUGAUUAAUGUCUUAGAGUUGGAUAUAGAGAUUCAAUCUUCAAGUUGACCUCUACCAGUGAGAUUCAUAUAUGUAUAUAAUGUACUUACAUGGUUCAAAAACUUAUCUGAAAACAAUUGGUCAGUAUAACUCUCAUACUGCUCUUUGGAGCCAUUUCUGGUAUGAAACUUACUGAUCUCUCUCAUACAACUCACUAAUGAGUACACUUCACAUAUUCCCUUGCAGACGCGCCAUUCUGAUCAAUGUUUUUCAACAUCAAGAGCAAAAUAAUGCAACAUCAAAGAUAAGGAGUACCAAGAGCAGCUACGUAUGCUGGAUAAACCAAAAGUAGGGCAGCAAGAAACUGC
rnacentral:lncRNA from 1 species